GACACCAAUUGCCGAACAAACAGGUAAACAUUUACAUCAUGCUAAUUUGCAGCAGUUUACUAUCAUGAAAGCAAUUUAUAUUGUUUAACAAAAGAUCCUUAGUGAACUGCAAAUGAGGCUUGGAAUAUUUAGUUAGUUUAAAGCAGCAACACAAUUAAUUUACACUUUUGAUUUAAAAGUGCUAAAGAGCUUCCUCUUUAUUUGUUUACAGAGAGAGUGACAUCAUUAGAGCUGUGUGUUGUGUUCAGAGAGUGACAUCAUUAUAGCUGUGUGUUGUGUUCAGAGAGUGACAUCAUUAGAGCUGUGUGUUGUGUUCAGAGAGUGACAUCAUUAGAGCUGUGAUAAGGAAGAUAGGCUAGGGAUUUACAGUAGCUAUUGUUUAUUACUGGGUAGAUACAGUAUAGUAUAUUCUAGAGGUUAUUAUUGGGUAGAUACAGUAUAGUAUAUUCUAGAGGUUAUUACUGGGUAGAUACUGGUCCUGUAGCUCAGUUGGUAGAGCAUGGCGCUUGUAACGCCAGGGUAGUGGGUUCGAUCCCCGGGACCACCCAUACGUAGAAUGUAUGCACACAUGACUGUAAGUCGCUUUGGAUAAAAGCGUCUGCUAAAUGGCAUAUAUUAUUAUUAUUAUUAUUACAGUAUAGUAUAUUCUAGAGGUUAUUAUUGGGUAGAUACAGUAUAGUAUAUUCUAGAGGUUAUUACUGGGUAGAUACAGUAUAGUAUAUUCUAGAGGUUAUUACUGGGUAGAUACAGUAUAGCAUAUUCUAGAGGUUAUUACUGGGUAGAUACAGUAUAGUAUAUUCUAGAGGUUAUUACUGGGUAGAUACAGUAUAGUAUAUUCUAGAGGUUAUUAUUGGGUAGACACAGUAUAGUAUAUUCUAGAGGUUAUUACUGGGUAGAUACAGUAUAGUAUAUUCUAGAGGUUAUUAUUGGGUAGAUACAGUAUAGUAUAUUCUAGAGGUUAUUACUGGGUAGAUACAGUAUAGUAUAUUCUAGAGGUUAUUACUGGGUAGAUACAGUAUAGUAUAUUCUAGAGGUUAUUACUGGGUAGAUACAGUAUAGUAUAUUCUAGAGGUUAUUAUUGGGUAGAUACAGUAUAGUAUAUUCUAGAGGUUAUUAUUGGGUAGAUACAGUAUAGUAUAUUCUAGAGGUUAUUAUUGGGUAGAUACAGUAUAGUAUAUUCUAGAGGUUAUUAUUGGGUAGAUACAGUAUAGUAUAUUCUAGAGGUUAUUAUUGGGUAGAUACAGUAUAGUAUAUUCUAGAGGUUAUUAUUGGGUAGAUACAGUAUAGUAUAUUCUAGAGGUUAUUAUUGGGUAGAUACAGUAUAGUAUAUUCUAGAGGUUAUUAUUGGGUAGAUACAGUAUAGUAUAUUCUAGAGGUUAUUAUUGGGUAGAUACAGUAUAGUAUAUUCUAGAGGUUAUUACUGGGUAGAUACAGUAUAGUAUAUUCUAGAGGUUAUUACUGGGUAGAUACAGUAUAGCAUAUUCUAGAGGUUAUUACUGGGUAGAUACAGUAUAGUAUAUUCUAGAGGUUAUUACUGGGUAGAUACAGUAUAGUAUAUUCUAGAGGUUAUUAUUGGGUAGACACAGUAUAGUAUAUUCUAGAGGUUAUUACUGGGUAGAUACAGUAUAGUAUAUUCUAGAGGUUAUUAUUGGGUAGAUACAGUAUAGUAUAUUCUAGAGGUUAUUACUGGGUAGAUACAGUAUAGUAUAUUCUAGAGGUUAUUACUGGGUAGAUACAGUAUAGUAUAUUCUAGAGGUUAUUACUGGGUAGAUACAGUAUAGUAUAUUCUAGAGGUUAUUAUUGGGUAGAUACAGUAUAGUAUAUUCUAGAGGUUAUUAUUGGGUAGAUACAGUAUAGUAUAUUCUAGAGGUUAUUAUUGGGUAGAUACAGUAUAGUAUAUUCUAGAGGUUAUUAUUGGGUAGAUACAGUAUAGUAUAUUCUAGAGGUUAUUAUUGGGUAGAUACAGUAUAGUAUAUUCUAGAGGUUAUUAUUGGGUAGAUACAGUAUAGUAUAUUCUAGAGGUUAUUAUUGGGUAGAUACAGUAUAGUAUAUUCUAGAGGUUAUUAUUGGGUAGAUACAGUAUAGUAUAUUCUAGAGGUUAUUAUUGGGUAGAUACAGUAUAGUAUAUUCUAGAGGUUAUUA